rnacentral:rRNA from 1 species
UACGUAGGGCGCAAGCGUUGUCCGGAAUUAUUGGGCGUAAAGAGCUCGUAGGCGGCUUGUCACGUCUGCUGUGAAAUCCCGGGGCUCAACCCCGGGCGUGCAGUGGAUACGGGCUGGCUAGAGGCAGGCAGGGGGAGAACGGAAUUCCCGGUGUAGCGGUGAAAUGCGCAGAUAUCGGGAGGAACACCGGUGGCGAAGGCGGUUCUCUGGGCCUGUACUGACGCUGAGGAGCGAAAGCGUGGGGAGCGAACAGG